GAAUUGCGAUAAGUAAUGUGAAUUGCAGAUUUUCAGUGAAUCAUCGAAUCUUUGAACGCACCUUGCGCUCCUUGGUAUUCCGAGGAGCAUGCCUGUUUGAGUGUCAUUGAAUUCUCAACCAUGUCUGGAUUCACUUCUAGGCAUGGCUUGGAGUUUGGGAGUUGCUGGCGUCAAGUCAGCUCUUCCGAAAUAUAUUAGCGACGGACGAGCAUGGUCCUGACGUGCACGGCCUUCCGACGUGAUAAUGAUCGUCGUGGCUGGAGCGGGUUCGGGACGGGUUGCAUCUUCAUGGUCCAUUUCGCUUCCAACUCCCCCCAUAAUCUGAACGCUUGACCUCAAAUCAGGUAGGACUACCCGCUGAACUUAA
rnacentral:rRNA from 1 species